AGCAGCCGCGGUAAUUCCAGCUCCAAUAGCGUAUAUUAAAGUUGUUGCAGUUAAAAAGCUCGUAGUUGAAUUUCGGGAUCAAUAUAUUGGUCGUGCCUUCGGUACGUACUGGUAUCGUUGAUUUCUACCUUCUGACGAACCAUGAUGUCAUUUAUUUGGUGUCAUGGGAAAUCAGGACUGUUACUUUGAAAAAAUUAGAGUGUUUAAAGCAGGCACACGCUUGAAUACAUUAGCAUGGAAUAAUGAAAUAGGACGUUUGACCCUAUUUUGUUGGUUUCUAGGAUCGACGUAAUGAUUAAUAGGGAUAGUUGGGGGCAUUAGUAUUCAAUUGUCAGAGGUGAAAUUCUUGGAUUUAUUGAAGACUAACUACUGCGAAAGCAUUUGCCAAGGAUGUUUUCAUUAAUCAAGAACGAAAGUUAGGGGAUCGAAGACGAUCAGAUACCGUCGUAG
rnacentral:rRNA from 1 species